CUGACAACUAAAUAUGUAGUGGGCUCUAAUUAGAUGCUUCUUCAUUUGUCUCUAGGAAAAGGACUGAAGAAAACAGACAGUGAGACUGAUCCAAAAACUCCCAUGUAUAUACAAACACAUGAAAAAUGUCACCAAAAUGUUCAUGGCAGUUACGUUACAGUUGCAUCAGGGAUGGGCUUUCAGUGCAUGACAUCUACAAGUGUACAAGAUGGUACUGGAUCCAGUGAGGAAGACAAAAAGUCUGGCAGGAAUGUGAGAGAGACUGGGAAGAAUUGGCUCAAUAUGAUGAUGGAGUUCAGAGAGCUAAAUGAAGUUCUGAGAAGUCACUGUUUAAAAUGGCUUAGCCAUGUGGAGGUGAGAAACCCCAAGGAUGUUCCAGUUAUCUUUUGUUGCAUUACAAACCAUCCUGAAAUUUAGUGGCAUAAAAUAACAAACAUUUUAUUGCACUCAUGAUUUGGGCAGUCAGGAACUUGGGUGCGGCACAGCAGAAAUGGCUGGCUUAUCUCUUCUCCAUGAUAUCUGGGUCCUCCACUAGCGUGGCCUGAAUGGUUGGAGAUGACUGAGAUAUCUUUACUG
rnacentral:lncRNA from 10 species